AAGAAAAAAAAAGGAAAAGUUGGGGUUUCAAGGUUCAAAGUUAAUUUGCUAGCAUCGUACUGGAAUUCUCGACUAAAAAGGGGAAAAAUAUAGUCGACAUUGAAUAGCUCGGAAUUCCUGAUCAAGAAACGAAGAAAACGGUUUGGAUCGGGGGAAAACGAAAGUAGUUGAAUAGUCGAUUGUGUCCGCUGAUAUCCGAGGUAAGUCUAUUAGCUAUUUAAUUUUAUUAAAUCAGCAUAUGAGUAUGUAUAUCAAUGGUAUUUGUGUUGAGUUAAAUUUAAAAGUAUAAAAUUGGAAUUGAAAGUAUGAAAUUAUGUAUACAUAUAUAUAUUAGAUUCGAAUGACUAUGAAUAUGCAAAUAUGCAUAUAAAUGUCCUUGUAAUAAAUUUAGGUAUGAACAUAUAUGUAUGAAUUAUA